GAAUAUUGGACAAUGGGCGCAAGCCUGAUCCAGCAAUGCCGCGUGUGUGAAGAAGGCCUGCGGGUUGUAAAGCACUUUCAAUUGUGAAGAACAGUCUAAGGUUAAUAACCUUGGACCGUGACGUUAACUGUAGAAGAAGCACCGGCUAACUCCGUGCCAGCAGCCGCGGUAAUACGGAGGGUGCGAGCGUUGAUCGGAAUUACUGGGCGUAAAGAGUACGUAGGUGGUUUGGUAAGUCGGAUGUGAAAGCCCUGGGCUCAACCUGGGAACUGCAUUCGAUACUGCCAGCCUAGAGUAUAGUAGAGGGAAGUGGAAUUCCGGGUGUAGCGGUGAAAUGCGUAGAUAUCCGGAGGAACACCAGUGGCGAAGGCGGCUUCCUGGACUAAUACUGACACUGAGGUACGAAAGCGUGGGGAGCAAACAGGAUUAGAUACCCUGGUAGUCCACGCCCUAAACGAUGUCAACUAGCCGUUGGAGGAAUUUAAUCCUUUAGUAGCGCAGCUAACGCGAUAAGUUGACCGCCUGGGGAGUACGGUCGCAAGAUUAAAACUCAAAGGAAUUGACG
rnacentral:rRNA from 1 species